rnacentral:rRNA from 1 species
CCUACGGGAGACAGCAGUGAGGAAUAUUGGUCAAUGGUCGGGAGACUGAACCAGCCAAGCCGCGUGAGGGAUGAAGGUACAGAGUAUCGUAAACCUCUUUUGUCAGGGAACAAAGGCGGGGACGUGUCCCCGGAUGAGUGUACCUGAAGAAAAAGCAUCGGCUAACCCCGUCCCAGCAGCCGCGGUAAUACGGAGGAUGCGAGCGUUAUCCGGAUUGAUUGGGUUUAAAGGGUGCGCAGGGGGACUGUUAAGUCAGCGGUCAAAGCCCGGGGCUCAACCCCGCCCCGCCGUUGAAACUGGCAGUCUCGAGUUGGAGAGAAGUAUGCGGAAUGCGCGGUGUAGCGGUGAAAUGCAUAGAUAUCGCGCAGAACUCCGAUUGCGAAGGCAGCAUGCCGGCUCCACACUGACGCUGAGGCACGAAAGCGUGGGUAUCGAACAGGAUUAGAUACCCUAGUAGUC